rnacentral:lncRNA from 1 species
GGCGGCAAACUCCACCGCCGGGCGAGGAGUAGGCACCUGGCGUUGGUGCUGGGCGGAUUUGCGAUUUGAGGGAAACUGUCGGGCGGUAGACCCCUACCGCCGGGCGGUACUGCGAUUUGAGGGAAACCGCCGGGCGCCACACUUGUUCCGCUGGGCAAUUGUCUACUAGGCUUGGGCCUAUUUUCUAUUGCGCUCCUCACCUAUAAAUAGCCCUCAUGCGAGUUUAGAUGCAUUCUUUUGACAGAAGGGGGCGGCC